UACAUGGGGUGCAACCGUUGCUCGGAAUUAUUGGGCGUAAAGCGCGCGUAGGCGGUUACUCAAGUCGGAUGUGAAAGCCCUCGGCUUAACUGAGGAAGUGCACCCGAAACUGAGUAGCUAGAGUACCAAAGAGGGUCGCGGAAUUCCCGGAGUAGAGGUGAAAUUCGUAGAUAUCGGGAGGAACACCGGUGGCGAAGGCGGCGACCUGGGUGGAUACUGACGCUGAGGCGCGAAAGCGUGGGGAGCAAACAGG
rnacentral:rRNA from 1 species